rnacentral:rRNA from 1 species
UUCAUGGAGAGUUUGAUCCUGGCUCAGGACGAACGCUGGCGGCGUGCCUAAUACAUGCAAGUCGAGCGGACCGACGGGAGCUUGCUCCCUUAGGUCAGCGGCGGACGGGUGAGUAAC